UGGUGCUGGGAGUCUCGUGUCCGUGGUGCCCUUUACUCGCAGUCAGGCGGCUUGAGGCUCAGCGCACAACGCAGGUAGCGCGUUAGCAGCAGCAGCGGAGGCACCUCGGCGGUCACAGCCCCUGCGCUGGUGCAGCCACCCUCGCCUGCUCUACUCCCCUCUUCCUUCCUUCGCUCGCACCAUGGCUGAUCAGCUGACUGAAGAAUAGAUUGCUGAAUUCAAGGAAGCUUUCUCCCUAUUUGAUAAAGAUGGGGGACGGCACCAUCACAACAAAGGAGCUGGGGACUGUCAUGCGGUCUCUGGGUCCGAACCCAACCGAGGCUGCAACUGCAGGAUAUGAUCAAUGAAGUGGAUGCCGACGGGAAUGGCACCAUUGACUUUCCAGAGUUCUUGACUGUGAUGGCUAAAAAGAUGAAAGACACAGAUAGCGAAGAAGAAAUCCGCGAGGCAUUCCGAGUCUUUGACAAGGAUGGAAAUGGUUACUUCAGUGCAGCAGAACUGCGCCACGUCAUGACAAACCUCGGGGAAAAGCUAACAGAUGAAGAAGUAGACGAAAUGAUCAGAGAAGCAGAUAUUGAUGGAGACGGACAGGUCAACUAUGAAGAAUUCGUACAGAUGAUGACUUCAAAAUGAAGACCUUCUUUCAACUACUUUCCCCCUCUAGAAGAAUCAAAUUGAAAUCUUUUACUUACCUCUUACAAAAAAGAAAAAAG